rnacentral:rRNA from 1 species
CCUUAAUGGAGAGUUUGAUCCUGGCUCAGGACGAACGCUGGCGGCGUGCCUAAUACAUGCAAGUCGAGCGGAUUUAUUCCUUCGGGGAUAGGUUAGCGGCGGACGGGUGAGUAACACGUAGGCAACCUGCCUGUAAGAUCGGGAUAACUACCGGAAACGGUAGCUAAGACCGGAUAGCUGGUUUCUUCGCAUGGAGAGAUCAUGAAACAUGGGGCAACCUAUG